rnacentral:rRNA from 1 species
UUCCCUACGGGAGGCAGCAGUGAGGAAUAUUGGUCAAUGGCCGUAAGGCUGAACCAACCAAGUCGCGUGAAGGAAGAAGGAUCUAUGGUUUGUAAACUUCUUUUAUAGGGGAAUAAAGGUAUCCACGUGUGGAUAUUUGCAUGUACCCUAUGAAUAAGCAUCGGCUAACUCCGUGCCAGCAGCCGCGGUAAUACGGAGGAUGCGAGCGUUAUCCGGAUUUAUUGGGUUUAAAGGGUGCGUAGGUUGUUUUUUAAGUCAGCGGUGAAAGUUUGUGGCUCAACCAUAAAAUUGCCGUUGAAACUGGA